rnacentral:ncRNA from 1 species
CCACGUCCCGACGCACUCCCCCCGGCGCCGGGACUUCCCGAGCCGGGCUCGGCGCCUCCCCCCCCCCCGGGCGCCGCAGCCCGGCUCCUUC